rnacentral:sRNA from 1 species
UGUCUCUGUAGCUUCCAGAGGAUGAGAAGCUCCGAAGGAGGUUUGCGCCGAGCGCAGCGAGACAACGUUGCUACAGCAACGGCCCGCAGGGGAAUAAUCCUCUCUCGCCGACCA